rnacentral:rRNA from 1 species
GACGAACCGUGCGAACGUUGUUCGGAUUCACUGGGCUUAAAGGGCGCGUAGGCGGACGGUCAAGUCGGGGGUGAAAUCUUUCAGCUUAACUGGAAAAGUGCAUCCGAUACUGAUCGUCUCGAGGGAGGUAGGGGCAUGUGGAACUUCCGGUGGAGCGGUGAAAUGCGUAGAUAUCGGAAGGAACGCCGGUGGCGAAAGCGACGUGCUGGACCUCUUCUGACGCUGAGGCGCGAAAGCCAGGGGAGCAAACGGG